GUGCUCACUUCAGCAGCACAUAUACUAAAAUUGGAACAAUACAGAGAAGAUAAGCAUGACCCCUAUGCAAGGAUGACAUGCAAAUUUGUGAAGCCUUCCAUAGUUUU